GAUCAAGUCAAAUGGACAAAUAACCCCAAUCACAGAAGAAUAUCAUCCCAAGUCUCACCCAUGCGGUCAAGACCCACCUACAGGACUACAGUGUGUGCUGUGCAAAAAUGCAUGACGAGCCGUAUACCAAGAACUCCACAGAAAGUGAGAACUACGAUGGAACCUCAGACUCGUACACAUGAUGAAAAAUAAAGUUUGAUCCUGAAUGCAAACAUCAUAACGUCAUACGCGAUGCACACAAAAUU
rnacentral:lncRNA from 1 species